UGUAUAUUGUGUAUAAUAUAUACACUCGCCGGCCACUGUAUUAGGUACACCUGCUCAAUUGCUUGGUAACACAAAUAUCUAAUCAGCCAAUCACAUGGCAGCAACUCAGUGCAUUUAGGCACCUAGAAGUGGUGAAGACGACUUGCUGAAGUUCAAACUGAGCAUCAGAAUGGGGCAGAAAGGGGAUUUAAGUG